rnacentral:tRNA from 1 species
GGGGUUGUGGCUCAGCGGUAGAGUGCUCACCUCGCAUGUGUGAAACAUUGGGUUUGAUCCUCAGCACCACA